CAGCAGCCGCGGUAAUUCCAGCUCCAAUAGCGUAUAUUAAAGUUGUUGCAGUUAAAAAGCUCGUAGUUGAAUUUCGGGGUCAGUAGUUUGGUCAUGCCACAGGUAUGUACUGAUCUUACUGAUUCCUCCUUCCUGAUGAACCGUAAUGCCAUUAAUUUGGUGUUGCGGGGAAACUGGACUGUUACUUUGAAAAAAUUAGAGUGUUUAAAGCAGGCUAACGCUUGAAUACAUUAGCAUGGAAUAAUGAAAUAGGACGUUCGAUCCUAUUUUGUUGGUUUCUAGGAUUGACGUAAUGAUUAAUAGGGAUAGUUGGGGGCAUUAGUAUUCAAUUGUCAGAGGUGAAAUUCUUGGAUUUAUUGAAGACUAACUACUGCGAAAGCAUUUGCCAAGGAUGUUUUCAUUAAUCAAGAACGAAAGUUAGGGGAUCGAAGACGAUCAGAUACCGUCGUAGUCUUAACCAUAAACUAUGCCGACUAGGGAUCGGAUGAUGUUAAUUUUAUAAUGACUCAUUCGGCGCCUUACG
rnacentral:rRNA from 1 species